rnacentral:rRNA from 1 species
AGAGUUAAAUAGUACGUGAAAUUGUUGAAAGGGAAACGAUUGAAGUCAGUCGUACCAACGGGAAAUCAGCCUUUUGAAGCGGGAUUUUGGUGUUUCAAAGAGUGUCAAAACCUUUGGGGUGUCAAAACUCUUCUUUUCUGGGUGUACUUUCUCGUAGGUAGGUCAACAUCGAUUUUGAACAUCAUAAAAAGACUGGAGGAAUGUAGCUUCGAUCUCGUAUUGAAGUGUUAUAGCCUUUGGUAAAUGUGAUGAUCAAGAUCGAGGAUUGCAACGAAUAUCCUUUUGGGCUAUCCGUCUGAUCUCUGAUACGUUGCCUUGGUAUUGAAAGCUUGCUUAUGAUAUUAAGGUAUUACGGUCAAAAGGUUAGAGCGGAUUACAUUCGUUAAGGAUGUUGACGUAAUGGCUUUAAACGACC